UAAAACAGUGGCUGCGUUCACGAUACGCAGGCUUUGCUAAGUCUGCAAAGAUUCUGAAAAUUAAUUGGCUACUUGCUCCGGUUGACAGAAUGACAAGAACGCACCCAGUUUUUGUUUGAUUUUUAACAUUGUGAUUUUUUAAUAAUGCUAUGCAUGGUUUUUAUAAGUUAGAGAUAUGCUGCAUAUCUUUGUACUGGUAUAGCAGUACUCAUUAGAAGUCAGCUAUGAAAUUUAAACUACAGUAGUUAUGCACAUAUGUAAUUUGCUGACGUAUAACUGUAAUGUCAGUCACAGAUGAAGAACUUGAAGAUUUGGGUGAAGAUGGAAUUUCAAUAGUUACUUAUGAAUCUGAGGCCGAAAUGUGCUAGAGAGCUUCUUCUUCUUGGGAUGCUGGGUGCAGGUCCCGUCUCAGUCCUGAACAGGAUCAGAGAAACACACCAUCUCAACCCUCGUCAGCACGCUCUGAACAGCGCCAAAAACAGAAGCAGGAAAAGGCGGCCUGGGCCAUACAAAAAUACUGGCACCUGUAUAAAGAUAAGAAUGAAGAUGAAGAUUCAGAUGAGAGUCCACGUGCAGUGAGAAGUAGCAGUGCUUACAGCCUGUCCCCCGCUGAUGAAGACAGAGACGAAGCUGUGACGUUACUCCAGUCUGCAUUCAGGGGUCACCUUGCACGUUCGGGACAGGUGGGCAACCGGUCUUCUGAUUCCAAGGUUAUAGUUAAAAUUUUGUGACAGAUCUUUUGAAAGCUGUGGCAAUUAGAGAUGAUGAAGAGAUAGAAGAAGAUCUGACAGUGGUUACUAGUGAUAAAGAUAAAGAGUUGGAGACAAAGGGAUCAAGACAGCAUACACCCCCAUCCAACAGGAGGCCUUUCUCAGCUAUGAAUAAUAAUGGCGUGAACAAAAAGUAUUCCUAGUCCUCUAUCUGAGAUCUCAGAAGCAAGGGCUUUUUCUGCUUGCUGUGAUCAUUUGGACUUCUGCAGAAGUGCUGGGGCUGUAGUUCCAACUGCAUUUUUUCCAAUCUAAUAAAUAUACUCAACCUCUGAUUUUGUAUUGUAUCCAAUUGCUAUUGUCUAUUUAUUUAGGUUUAUGACUUUUAGAAUCUUAACUGAAUCCCAAAUAUCUGUGUUUAAUUUGGCCAAUUCAAUUUUUAUAUUUGAACCUGUUUUUUCAAAGUUUGGUAUUAUUUUGAGUAAAUCUCUCAUAAUAAAGAGCAAAUAGAUUUGUGCAUAUUAACGUAGACAACAUCAUUUCAAAUGCGAUCCAAUGGUUACGUCUUACAAUUUUUUUUUUUUUUCUGGCAACUGUUGAAUGAACGAACUAAGUGUAACAUUGAGAUGCAAUUCUUACCAAGUUGUUCAAGUCCAAACAGUUUUGAUGUUGAUAUUGACCAAUAAAAUGUAGGAAAGUACUGUAUAUCUUUCCCUUAAGAGUUCAUUCAAUUUAAAUCAGCAACAGCAAAGGAGGAAUUGAAAAUGUUCUACUUUUUAACAGCACAAUCUAGUCAGUACCAGCCUAAGGCUCUCCCUGUUCAGCCAUCUAACGACCAUGACUCAGACGACUCUGAUGACAUCAUUGUUUCACCAGACGACUCUAAUGACAUGAUUGUCACCAGACGACUCUGAUGACAUCAUUGUCACCAGACGACUCUGAUGACAUCAUUGUUUCACCAGACGACUCUGAUGACAUCAUUGUAAUAUACCUGUUCUACAACCCUAAUUAACUACACUUCCAUAUAUAGAAAUAAAACCCCUAAACAUGCUACAACAUAAGUACAAAAUUAUAAGAAGGAAGGCACUGGGCUGUAUUUUAAAUAUCGAAAAAGUGGCAAAUCUAAAUGCUGCAGGCCGGUUUUGACUUUUUGGAUGACAGUACCGCAAUACAGUAGUUUUAUGCAUUUUUAACAAAAUAUAAAGCACUAAUUGACUGAGCAUUUAAAAAUAGGUUUGUAACUUUUUCCUUCCACUAUUUAGGUAUCAUAUUUUUACUAUUUAUCUUUUAUAUUAAAGGUCUGGAUUUUAAGUGCUGUUACUGGAAAUUGACAUCACAUUCUUUAUAAAUAUAUAAACUACUAGCAAUCCUUAAGUGUCCACUGCACACUGUACAUGUGAAUAAAAGCUGCUGAUAAUGUGAAUUCCUCUGUACUUCUCUGGAGCC